AGGGAAGGAGGUGAGGUCCAGAGCAGGUUCAGUGGUUCAAACGUGCUCAGCUCCACUUCUCUGGGCCUCUGGGCAGCCUCAGCUCCUCAGGGAAGCCACACCCUAGUCAGGUCCACUGUGUAUGGCCUCUCAUAGAGCCCUUGGUGAAUUUCUUAAAUGCCUUUUCCACUAAUGGUAAACUCGGGGACCAUCUAGCAGGUGCCAAACAUACAAGAGACAUUGACUAAUACUGCUGAAUGAAUGAAUGAAUGAAUGGGUGAAAGAAGAUAAGCCAUGACAUAGCAGGAAGAGGACAAGGCAGCAACUAAAUCACAGGCCAGGUCCUCAGAGAUUUCCAGGGAAGUCCUGUCCUUGGUCUCUGAUAGGUGCAAUCUAUAUGCCAGUCUCGGUGAAGGCCAUGUGAUAUAGUAAGGACACCCAUGCCUGUGGGACCCUCGUGGCACCAGCCAGCCUCCAGCUGGGAGGCCCCAUGGCCCAUUUAUACAAAUAGCCUAUGGGUGUUGGUUCCUGCAGCUGGGCCCCAGACUCUUUCCCUCCUGCUGUCACAUCUUCUCUUACCUGUGCCCAGGGCUCCCUAACUGAUGGCACUCCAUGCCAUGUCUCCAGCCAGGGGCACUCCCCUAAGCCCCAGGCGCUGACAGCAGCCGACUGAGUGUCCACUGCUCUGUAAAGUCCAAAUGUAUGACUUGUCCUCCUAUACCUGAUCACCUGCCAGUGAAAUAUGCCUCCUUUCACUAUCCCUUUAUUCCCACUUCUCUCCAUUCCCUGAACUACCGCCUAGUCUACACUAGCUGCAUCCCCUUUGGCCUGGACCACUGUGACUUCCCUAUGGUGGACUGCUGCUCCUCAAGGGAGGAGUCUGUUUCCAGCCCCAUGCAGCAGAUUUAGCCCCUGACUCCCUGUGCCCUAUGAAAGCUGAGCGGAAUUACAUAAGUCACUCCAGGCAGAAGACUGAAGAGCCAGGGCCUGGUUGACCUGUGCCCUGUGAACCUGAAUGACAAGGUGCAGCCUCGCCAGCAAGCACAUGAGCUGCCCCUGGAGCUAGAGUGCCAGAUUCUAAGCAAGAGAAACACUCGAUGUCCAUUACUGGCUUUGAAGAUGAAGGGGACCAGAGACUUCAUGGUACAACCACAAGGAACUGAAUUCUGCUCACAACCAGAUUGAACUUGGAAGUGGAUUUUUCCCUUGUCCCUUCAGAUACCUUGACUUUGGCCAUGUGAGUCCUUACACAGAAGACAUAGUCACGUCACGCUGGACUACUGACCCACAGAAACUGUGAGAUAAUAAAUGUGUGUUGUUUGAA